GAAAUGCGAUAACUAAUGUGAAUUGCAGAAUUCAGUGAAUCAUCGAGUCUUUGAACGCACAUUGCGCCCCCUGGUAUUCCGGGGGGCAUGCCUGUCCGAGCGUCAUUGCUGCCCUCAAGCCCGGCUUGUGUGUUGGGUCCUCGUCCCCCGGCUCCGGGGGACGGGCCCGAAAGGCAGCGGCGGCACCGCGUCCGGUCCUCGAGCGUAUGGGGCUUUGUCUUCCGCUCUGCAGGCCCGGCCGGCGCCCGCCGGCGCAAUUUUUUGCAACCUUUUAUUUUUCCAGGUUGACCUCGGAUCAGGUAGGGAUACCCGCUGAACUUAA
rnacentral:misc_RNA from 1 species